rnacentral:misc_RNA from 1 species
UUUCCGUAGGUGAACCUGCGGAAGGAUCAUUACAGAGUUCAUGCCCUCACGGGUAGAUCUCCCACCCUUGAAUAUUUAUACCUUAGUUGCCUUGGCAGGCCGUGGAAACACCAUGGGCUCCGGCUUAUGCGUGCCUGCCAGAGGAAACAAACUCUGUUUUUAGUGAUGUCUGAGUACUAUAUAAUAGUUAAAACUUUCAACAACGGAUCUCUUGGUUCUG